UGGAACACCUCAACCUGCUCUGUGUGUGUGUGUGGUCCAGGUCUUUCUCAUGUUGUGGGUGUCGGGGGGUGACAAGGCAUGUCAAUCACAACCUGAGCUGGUCAGUUUGUAACUCUUUGCCGACUUAAGAAGUGGCCAGAGAUCCCUGAUGGGCCGUAAAUCACAAUAACUGCUUCAACUUUGGGUUGACAGGGAGUGGAGUGUCGGGAGUCAGCACGAGCUGAGCCACAGACGGGGCUCCUGGACCAUCACUGAGACAACACCCCCACUAUAGGACGGACUCAGGAUUGGACUGAGUAUUACACUCAUGUUGAAAGUUUAGUACUGGAAAACUGGACUGAGUUGUAGGGGAAGAAAUUGGAUUAUUGUUUAAUCUUCUUGUUUUUACUGCCUAUUUUAUUUUAUUGUUUUAUUGUUUUA